rnacentral:rRNA from 1 species
GACGAACGCUGGCGGUGUGCUUAACACAUGCAAGUCGAACGGAAAGGCCCUGCUUUCGUGGGGUGCUCGAGUGGCGAACGGGUGAGUAACACGUGAGUAACCUGCCCUUGACUUUGGGAUAACUUCAGGAAACUGGGGCUAAUAUCGGACAGGAUCCCCUGUUGCAUGGUGGGGGUUGGAAAGUUUCGGCGGUCGGGGAUGGAUUCGCGGCUUAUCAGCUUGUUGGUGGGGUAGUGGCUUACCAAGGCUUUGACGGGUAGCCGGCCUGGGAGGGUGACCGGCCACAUGGGGACUGAGGUACGGCCCAGACUGCUACGGGAGGCAGCAGUGGGGAAUAUUGCACAAUGGGCGGAAGCCUGAUGCAGCGACGCCGCGUGCGGGAUGACGGCCUUCGGGUUGUGAACCGCUUUCGCCUGUGACGAAGCGUGAGUGACGGUAAUGGGUAAAGAAGCACCGGCUAACUACGUG